rnacentral:tRNA from 1 species
GCCCGGAUGGCCCAGCGGUUACGGCGCGAGGUUGCUAACCUCGUUUCCUCACGGAUUCCCAAGUUCAAAUCUUGGUCCGGGCG